AUAAAUUUUAGUGUUAAUUUUAUUAUAUUUUAAUAAUAUUUUAAUAAUAAAAUUAGUAAUUAAUAUUAAAUAUUUAAGAAAUUAAUAUUUAGUAAUAUUAAAAUUAAUAACAAAUUUUGUGCCAGCAGUUGCGGUUAUACAAAAAUUAAAUUAAAUUUUAUUAGUUAAUAAUUAGUGAAUAUUAUGUUUAAAUAAAAUAAAAAUAUUAAAUUAUUAAGUGAAAUUUUAAUUUAUUAAAAUAUUAUUUGAAAUUUAUGAAUUUAUUAAAUUUUAUAAAAAACUAGGAUUAGAUACCCUAUUAUUAAAAUUUAAAUUUAAAAUAUUAAAGUAGUAGGUAAUUUUUUAUUGAAAUUUAAAUGAAUUGGCGGUAUUUUAGUUCAUUUAGAGGAAUCUGUUUAAUAAUUGAUAAUCCACGAAUAAAUUUACUUAAUUUAUAAUUUUGUAUAUCGUUGUUUAAAAAUAUUUUUUUAUAAAAAUAAUAUUUAAUAUUUAAUAUUUAAAGUUAAAUCAGAUCAAGAUGCAGAGCAUAAUUAAGAAUAUAAUGGAUUACAAUAAAUUUAUUUAAUAUGGAUUAUAAUUUGGAAUAAUUAUAUAAAGGUGGAUUUAAAUGUAAUUUUAUUUAAUUUAAUAAAAUGAUUAAAAAUUAAAAUAUGUACAUAUUGCCCGUCGCUUUCAUAUGUAAAUAAAUUAAUUUAUAUAAAUAAGUUAAAUAUUAGAUAAAAAUUGAAAUAAGUCGUAACAAAGUAGAGGUACUGGAAAGUGUUUCUAGAAAGAC
rnacentral:ncRNA from 1 species